GUCUGUCCUACAUAACCUGCUUACUUAUGUUUGCAAUGCAGGUGGGAAAUUCGGUGGAACGCUGCGCCGUGUGCGUCCGCUAGGUACACUGUCUGCUGCCAGCUCCGCUGGACUCCGAGAGGAGGCCCCGUCGAGACGGCGGGGCUACACGCCUGUCAUCAGAAAGAUUUAAGUCGUCUUGUGCGACAUGGGAUCCCGGACAGCGGGCGCGGCGGUCGGCUGGUGGUUGGGUGUAUCGGACGGCGGGCGGACACUGGUGCUUGGCUUCGCGAGGAGUAACUCCGAAGGCUCAGCUGAGUGCAAUUGUAGGAUUCUCCAUGGCAUAUGCCGGGAGAAACCCCGAUACCGAUUACAGAC
rnacentral:RNase_P_RNA from 2 species